rnacentral:rRNA from 1 species
GAUGAACGCUGGCGGCGUGCCUAAUACAUGCAAGUCGAGCGAACGGACGAGAAGCUUGCUUCUCUGAUGUUAGCGGCGGACGGGUGAGUAACACGUGGAUAACCUACCUAUAAGACUGGGAUAACUUCGGGAAACCGUAGCUAAUACCGGAUAAUAUUUUGAGCCGCAUGGUUCAAAAGUGAAAGACGGUCUUGCUGUCACUUAUAGAUUGAUCCGCGCUGCAUUAGCUAGUUGGUAAGGUAACGGCUUACCAAGGCAACGAUGCAUAGCCGACCUGAGAGGGUGAUCGGCCACACUGGAACUGAGACACGGUCCAGACUCCUACGGGAGGCAGCAGUAGGGAAUCUUCCGCAAUGGGCGAAAGCCUGACGGAGCAACGCCGCGUGAGUGAUGAAGGUCUUCGGAUCGUAAAACUCUGUUAUUAGGGAAGAACAUAUGUGUAAGUAACUGUGCACAUCUUGACGGUACCUAAUCAGAAAGCCACGGCUAACUACGUG